GGCCUUCUAGCUCAGUGGUAGAGCGUGCCCCUCCUAUUUUCAGUCAACUGAGUGGAAAAGGGUUCAGGGUGAGGUCGUAGGUUCGAGCCCUACGUGGGUCG